rnacentral:tRNA from 3 species
GCAGGCGUAGUUCAUCGGUAGAACAUCAGCUUCCCAAGCUGAGGAGGCGGGUUCGAUUCCCGUCGCCUGCU